rnacentral:rRNA from 1 species
GACGAACCGUGCGAACGUUGUUCGGAAUCACUGGGCUUAAAGGGCGCGUAGGCGGGUGCGCAAGUCCGGGGUGAAAGCCCCGGCUCAACCGGGGAACAGCCUUCGGAUACUGCGCACCUUGAGUGGGUAGGGGCAGGACGGAACUUCCGGUGGAGCGGUGAAAUGCGUUGAUAUCGGAAGGAACGGCCGGUGGCGAAAGCGGUCUGCUGGACCCCUCCGUGACG